UUGUAGAGUUAUAGCGAGUGGUAGACAUAGUGCAUUCACCAACAUGUAGACAUCUUAUAGCUACAUGUUGGUGAAUGCACUAUGUCUACAUGUUGGUGAAUGCACUAUGUCUACCACUCGCUAUAACUCUACAUGUU
rnacentral:pre_miRNA from 1 species